GGCCUUGUGGUCUAGUCGUAUGAUUCCUUCUUAGGGCAAUGUUUCCGGUUUCGCAAAUUGAACCUGAAAAGCUUGGAUGGAGGAGGUCCCGGGUUCAAUUCCCGGCAAGGCCC